rnacentral:rRNA from 1 species
UGGGGAAUCUUGGACAAUGGGCGAAAGCCUGAUCCAGCCAUGCCGCGUGAGUGAAGAAGGCCCUAGGGUUGUAAAACUCUUUCAGCGGGGAAGAUAAUGACGGUACCCGCAGAAGAAGCCCCGGCUAACUUCGUGCCAGCAGCCGCGGUAAUACGAAGGGGGCUAGCGUUGUUCGGAAUUACUGGGCGUAAAGCGCGCGUAGGCGGACUGGUCAGUCAGGGGUGAAAUCCCGGGGCUCAACCUCGGAACUGCCUUUGAUACUGCCAGUCUCGAGUCCGGAAGAGGUGAGUGGAAUUCCUAGUGUAGAGGUGAAAUUCGUAGAUAUUAGGAAGAACACCGGUGGCGAAGGCGGCUCACUGGUCCGGUACUGACGCUGAGGCGCGAAAGCGUGGGGAGCAAACAGGAUUAGAUACCCCCGUAGUCC